UGGCUCUUCAUUGACAGGCCUGUUUGCUGCUGUGGUGUGGCAGUUGGCAGGGCAGCUGCAGAAGGCCCUGGAUCUCUGUGUAAAGGUGGACGCCUUGGAGAACCGAGUCAGCGCUCUCCAGGAUGACCUGUGGAGAAGGGAGGCUGCGACCAAGGAGGAAGAACGGAGAGCUGCUCGACUGCAGCAGGAACGAGAUGCUCUGAUGGCGCAGCACCUCCAGCCAAGGAAGCAGUCCAUCACCACCACGACAUACGAACGCAGGAGCAUCGUCUUCUUGCAUCUCUUUUGCCUGCCUCUGUGUCUCAGCACAAGGUCCAGCAGGGGGCGCUGACUGAGCUGCGCGGGAAGCUGCAGCGCUCCCAGGCGGAGGCAAGGGUGCAGGAGGAGCGUGUGAAAGAGGAGAUGCGGGGACUGCGUGCCGAGUUCCUGGAGGCUGCGGCGCGUCUCCCCAGUACCGCAGCAGGGCAGAGACGCUCUGCACGGGCCUCUGAGAAGGAGAGCAGGUGGCUGCGCACCGUGGAUGUGGAGCUGAGCUGCAUGCCUAAGGCCCCGCAGAAAGUCCAGGCCCUCGCCGCAGAUGCAGAGGGACGCCUGGAGCCGCUGGCUGAGUCUCUGAACGUUUACAAGUAG
rnacentral:lncRNA from 1 species